rnacentral:lncRNA from 1 species
GCAGCUUCGAGCGGCGGGAGGAGCGCGCCUUCUGGGGCGGGAUUCAGGACAGGUUCGCGGGAGGGAGGAUCAGACGCUGAAGUCCUCUGCCCACUCUUGCUGUUAGCGGUGAGCUUUGGGAGCCACCCCCCACCCCCGGAAGCCUUCCAUGGGUCAGCCGGAGAUGGAGAUGGACCCGGCCUCAUGUCUGUAAGGUUUGAUUCUUGGCUUGGCUGAGGUCACUCAUCGGGAAGGUUAUUUACCCUCAGGGUCUCAUUACUGCUCCGCAUCUUGGGGAGUUAGUGUGGUUACUUUUUCUAAGGAGGCUGGUGGCCCUUCUUCCAAGAAAAGAUAACUGUUUGUUUGUUUGUUUGUUUGUAGACAGACACUUGCUGUGUAACCAAGGCACCUACCACAGAUUGCCCACAGGCUGGGCUUCCAGACAUCGCUGUCGCGGGGUUCAUUCGUGCACACUUGUAUCCAAACUUCAGCUGCCUUUCCCACCUGCCACUUAGCCACUUCCUGAGUUCCAGCUUCCCAGGUCUUCCGCCUCAUCACCUUGUCACAAACCAGUGUUCCUUGCAGUCUUAGCUGUUGCUACCAUUACCUCCUAUGCCACCCUUCCACAGGAGACUCCACACACUCUCGUUACCUGUGACCACUGUGUAGUCAGUCCCUGGCUGACUUCAGAUCCAAACCCUUCACCUUCAGCUUGGCAUUCAAGGCAGUUUGAAAUGUAGAUCCAGUCCCAGGCUGGCUGGUGCUAUUGAGAAAUGGAUUUCACCCCGGGCAGUCAAAGAGGGAACCAAUCUCAACAUUUGUCACCAUCUUUUUUUUUUUUUUUUUAAAGAUUUAUUUAUUUAUAUGUAAGUACACUGUCGCUGUCUUCAGACACACCAGAAGAGGGCAUCAGAUCUCAUUACAGAUGGUUGUGAGCCAUUUGUCACCAUCUUUUUUUUUUUUAAAGAUUUAUUUAUUUAUUAUAUGGAAGUACAUUGUAGCUGUCUUCAGACACUCCAGAAGAGGGAGUCAGAUCUCGUUAUGGAUGGUUGUGAGCCACCAUGUGGUUGCUGGGAUUUGAACUCUGGACCUUCGGAAGAGCAGUCGGGUGCUCUUACCCACUGAGCCAUCUCACCAGCCCCAUUUGUCACCAUCUUAACAAAGAAUAGGCCGACUGAAAUAUUGACCUAGCAGACAUCUACAGAACAUUCCAGCAAGUACUGCAGAGCACACAUUCUUUUCAGUAGCCCCUGGGACUUUCUCUAAAAUAAAUUACUGUUAGGAUGCAAGCAAGCCUUACGAGUGUGGGACAAUUGAAAUAUUUGCUUGCAUUCUAUCUGAUCCUCACAGACAUCAAACCAACACAAGAUCCUAUAGCACAGGCUCAUGUAGUUAAACAGCACACUACUGAGCGACCGUGGCUUAUUGAAAAAGUCUAGAAGGGGGACCCUGUUAUAGCUGUCUCUUGUGAGGCUAUGCCAGUGCCUGGCAAAUACAGAAGUGGAUGCUCACAGUCAUCUAUAGUAUGGAACACAGGACCCCCAAUGGAGAAGCUAGAGAAAGUACCCAAGGAGCUGAAGGGGUCUGCAACCCUAUAGGUGGAACUAACUAGUACCCCCAGAGCUCGUAUCUCUAGCUGCAUAUGUAGCAGAAGAUGGCCUAGUCAGCCAUCACUGGGAAGAGAGGCCCCUUGGUAUUGCAAAUUUUAUAUGCCUCAGUACAGGGGAAUGCCAGGGCCAAGAAGCAGGAGUGGGUGGGUAGGGGAGCAGGGCGGAGGGAGGGUAUAGAGAACUUUCGGGAUAGCAUUUGAAAUGUAUAUAAAGAAAAUAUCUAAUAAACAGAAAGAAAGUGAGAGAGAGAGAGAAAGAGAGAGAGAGGAAGAAAGAAAGAAAGGAAGGAAGGAAGAAAGAAAGAAAGAAAGAAAGAAAGAAAGAAAGAAAGAAAGAAAGAAAGAAAGAAAGAAAGAAAGAAAGAAAGAAAUCAAGCUGAGCAAGAAGCCAGGGGAAGCAAGACGGCAAGUAGCAUCCCUCCGUGGCCUCUGUAUCAGCUCCUGCUUCCUAAGUGGGGGAGCGGGGGGGGGGGGGCGGGAGAGGGGGGUGAGUCUAGAAGGAACACAAGAAAUCCCUAAAAACAAAGGAAAACGAAAAUACAAUAGCCUCAAACUCCAUGAGUUACCACGAACGUAGUAAGAAGAGAGGUAUUUGUGGCAAUAGUUGUCUACGUUAAAGAUGUAAGAGACCAGUCAAAUAAAUGGUGACAUACACCUCAGGGCCUUGGAAACCAAGGUAAAGUUAGAGUAAUUACAAUAGGGCAGAAAUUGAUGACAGGAAGAUUAAAGAAUGAACAAAAGACAGAGUUGCUCUUACAGGAAGUCAGCGUGACUGAGAAACCUUCAGCCACGCUAACUAAACGGAGGAGAUACUCAGCAAGCUCUGAGGUGUAAAGACCUGCUGUAACACAUGGCAAGGACAUUUACAAAGUUAUAGGCUAGGGCUACACGGCGUGAUGAAAGCCUUUAAACCGAGCACUUAGGAGGCAAAGGCAGGUGGAUCUCUGCAAGUUGGAGGCUAGCCUGGUCCAUAAAGGGAAUUCCAGGAUAGCCGGAGACUGUUACAUCGAAAAACCCCAUCUCAAAACAAACAAACAAACAAACAAAGAAUGGGGUUUUGAUUUGUUUGUUACUGAGCUUGGUCCCAUAUCUGAAGCCAGGACUGUACCUAGGAAUUAGCUCAUGGCUAACUGUAAUGACAUACUUAAAAAUCUAAUUUCCCACUAGCUUAGAAGGUUCAAAAGAAAUGUUAAAAAUGUCGAGGUGCACAUACUGAUCAAAAUCAAACCAAGAUAAAAACUCUUUUCUGUUGUUUGUUUUUGAUUUUGGUUUUUGGUUUGUUUUUUUUUUUUUUUUAGACAGGGUUUCUUUGUGCAACUUUGACUGUCCUGGAACUAGAUCUGUAGACCAGGCUAGCCUUAAACCUCUGCAUCCUGAGUGCUUGGAUUAAAAAGGUGUAUACCCUAUACCCAACUAAGCAAUUACUGUUCUAGCUAGUCCUAGACCUACUGACCCAGGUUAGCUUCUUAGAGCCCACAUGGUGGCUCACAGACUACCUAUGACUCCAGCUUCAAAGGAUCCAAUGCCCUCUUCUGACCUCCUUGGACUUCUGCACACAUGUGGUUCACACACACACACACACACACACACACACACACACACACAUUUUUUAAAAGAGAUUUAUUUAUCUUAUGUAUAUGAGUACACUGCAGAUGUCUUCAGACACCUGAAGAGGACAUUGGAUCUCAUUACAGAUGGUUGUGAGCCACCAUAUGGUUGCUGGGAAUUGAACUCAGGACCUCUGGUAGAACAAUCAGUCCUCUUAACCUCUGAGCCAUCUCUCCAGCCCCCAGUAAAUACUUUUUAAAUUAAAUAAAAAUUUGUCUACUGGGCUGGCAAGAUAGUUUAGCAUGUAAAGGCACUUGCCGCCAAGCCUGACGACAUUUAUCGGGACCCCAAGACCCAUGUGAUAGAGAGAACCAAUUUCCACAAGUCGUCACCUAGCCGCCACAUGUAGGCUCCAACAUUCACAUACCCACACAAAGAAAUAUAAUAUUAAAAUUAAGAAUAUUAUUUUAUUUGUUUAGAUAUGUGUUUAUGAAUGUGUAUGUUUGAGUGUAUGAGCAUGUAUGUUUAAAUAUUUGUGUAUAUAUAUAUUUAAGUGUUUUUGUAGAGGCUAAAGGAGGGAAUGGUGCCUGCCUUCAUCACUCUCCACCCAUUCUUUUGAGAUGUGGUCUCUCCUUCAACCUAGGGCUUGCAUUUCCUCAGGUAAACAGGAAAUUAGGAAGCCCCACAGACCCUCCUGUCUCUGUUCACCUAAAAGCUACAGUUACAGAUGUGUGUGUGGGAUGCCAGCUUUGUAUAUAGGUGCUGGGACCUGAAUUCUAGCUGUCAUGAUUGUACAGCAAAUGCUUUCAACUGCUGAGCCGUCUCCCCAGCCCUGAAGACAAACGAGUUCAGCAGCUCUGUAACAAGUAAGGAGACUAAAGCAGUGAUCAAUUCUCCCAAAUAAAAAAGGUUCAGGUCCUGGUGGAGUCAUUGCUGAAUCCCACAGGACCUUUGGAGAAGCGUGAUCAGAAAUAGGAAGGAAAAAACUACCUACCAAACUUAAAAAAGAAAGCAAGUGAGCAAACAGAAGGGAGGGAGGGAGGGAGGGAGGGAGGGAGAGAGACAGAGAGAUGGGGUAUGUGUGUUUUGCCUGCAUGCAUGUCUGUGCACCACUUUCAUGCCUGGUCCCCUGCAGAGACCAGAAGAGGAUGUCAGAUCUCCUGGAACUGGAGUUACAGUUGUGAGUUUCCGUGUGGGUGGGUACUGGGAAUUGAGCCCACGUUCUCUGUAAGAGCAGCCAGUGCUCUUAACUGCUGAGCCGUCACUCCAGCCCAGCUGCCAAACUCGUUACAAAGCCAAUAUUACCCUGAUACCAAAACCAGAUAAACUACCAUAACAACAACAAAAAAUUACAGACCAAUCUCCCUGAUGAACAUUGAUACAAAAAUUCUCAAUAAAAUACUUGCAAACCAAGGUCAAAACACAGUUUUUAAAAAGGCCAUUCUUGGGGUUGACAGGGUGGUUAGCAGUUAAGAGUGCUUGCUGCUUUUCUAGAACUUGGGUCCUAGAACCUAUGUUGGGAGGCUUGCUACUGUAUGUAACUUCUUUCUCAAAAGAUCUAACUCCUUCUCAUGACCUCUGUGGACACCUGAACACGUGUGGCAUACACUCACACAAGCACACACAUACAUGUAAGUAAAAAAAAAAAAAGCUUUAAAAACUCCUUUGCCAGGAUGAAGUUGGCUUUAUUUCAAAGAAGCAGCGAUGGUUGGACUUAUGCAAGUCUAUAAAUGUAAUUUAUUGUAUAACUGGACUCAAGGACAGAAGUCACGUGAUCGGCUUAACAGAUGUGGAAAAGACCUUUGACAGCAUCCUACGGGACAGUUUCCUCACGACAGCCCCCGAAUAACUAGGAAUUGGAGGCACAUACCCAACAUAACAAAGGUGACAGACAACAGCCUGUUGGACUAGGAGUGGUGGCAUAGGUCUUGUUCCCAGAGCUCAGAGAGAGAAGCAGGCAGGUCUCUGUGAGUUCCAGGCCAACCAGGGCAACAGUGAGACCCUGUCUCCAAACAAAUGUGUAGCCGACCUUGUACUAAACAGGUAAAAACUAAAAGCAUUGUUUUGAAGACAGGAGCAAGACAGGGGCUAUACCUUCUCCUCUCUGCCUGUUAUAGUGUUAUAAGCUUUAACCAAGUCAAAAGAGAAAAAAAAGAAAGAAAAAAAAAAAAAAACAAGUAAAAGAGAAAUGAAAGAAUUGCCCCCUAUUGGCAGUUAAUAGGAUUCUACAUAUUAGAUCUACAGGCUGUACAGAAAACUCUUAGGAUUUGUAAGCUCGGGCUGGUGAGAUGGCUCUGCGGGUAAGAGCACUGACUGCUCUUCAAUUCCCUUCAUUCUUGGGACCCAGGGCUAUGUCCAUUGGCCACUCGGAGCCUAGGGAACCUUCACAAGCAUCUAGGGUAAGUGCCCCCUCAGCACUUAAGGAACAGCCUGAGACCCGCACGACUGCACCACUGCACCGUCUUCCCUGACAGCAGAGUCUUGUUUACCAAGGCCAGGGCUACUUCUACUCUGUUUGCCUUCCUGACAGCCAGCCUGCAUCACCCAGCCUUCAGCCUGGAGGUGCUGGCUAAGUUAGUAUAACUAGGCCACCAUUGCCUUUGCUUCCCCUAGAUUUCUGUGCUUGUACCUAAGUCAAUCUUGCAAAUAAAUAGAAAUAAGGCACGGGUGUGUGUGUGGGGGGGUGUUCACUUCCAUAAUGUGCAGCCCUAGGGACUGAUGCACAUGAAUCAUGAGUUUAAGGCUAGCCUGGGCUGUGCAGUGAAGCAGUGUACAGAAGCCUGAGAUAGGGGCUGGAAAGAUUGGUAAGCAGUUAAUAGCACUUUCUGCCCUUCCAGAGGACUGGGGUCUGGUUCUGGGCACUCACAUGGGGGCAGUUCACAACCACCUGUAAUUUUGGUUCCAGAGAAUCCAAUGCCCUCUUCUGACUUCCUCUACCACCCAGAUACACAUAGGUAAAAAUAAGAAAAUUUCUUCGUGAGUUCAAGGCCAGCCUGAUUCUAUAUAGUGAGUUCUGAGACAACCAAGCCUAUGGAGAAAGACCCUGUCUCAAAAACAAAACAAAAACAAAAAAAAAACCCCAACAAAAACAAAUAAAUAUGCAUAUUAAAUCCCAAUUAAUAUAAAAUGUAAUAAACCUGGAUAUAAUAAACAGUUACCCACGUAAAUGACACAAUCCUAUGCAUGUUAAAUACCAAUUACGUUGGAAGGUCUGUGCGCCUGUUUUCCCUAGCAGGUAAUGACUACAUUGCCUGGCACACAGCUGACUUAGGUAAGGGCUGAGGGAGCACUGUGAUGGGGUUCCCUAGAUGAGUCAUGGAUGCUGAAUUUCCGGUCACUCCAUGGCUGGAAGGACCACGUGCUUAGCCGUUCAAAGAUGCUUAAGAGGCAGCCCCAGAAAACUGGAAGUCUGGGAGUCUCACUCACCCUUGAAGGUCAGAGCAUGUCAUAGCCCGUCAGCCAAGAGGCUCUGCUCUGGAUUCAAUCUUAUAUCUAUGAGACCUGGUGAGCAAAAUCCCAGCCUGACUCCGACUCUGAAUCCCAAACUCUAGAAUGAGUGCUAACAGACAUUGCUCUGCUCCCAGCGCUUGCCCAUGUGUCCAUGGAGGUCUCCAGCCUUGCCAUGGCCAAGCCCCCAACACUGCAGAUAAGAAGCUUGGUAUCUGGCCUAAGGCAGAGAGCCAGAGAGAGAGAGGGCAGGGACAGCAACCUGAGAGAUUCCCUCCAUUUUUUCCAGACUUGGAAUCAGAGAAAAUUGAGAUUCACAGCUUUAACUCAGAAAGAAUUUCAGGUGUAACUAGUCUGAAACACUGUUGGACAUUGUACUAAAGAUAUUUUACUAUGGGUUGUUAUGACUGAGGAGAAAGAACGUGCUUAGAAAGAGGGAGGGAGCUUGGCUGAGGCUUCUCUGACAGCAGGAGGAAUAAGUCCAAGUUCAGUUGGGACUCCUCGAGGGAAAGCUUCAGUUAAAGAAAGGUUAUUAGGAUGCAGGGGAAGUGGACUUGUUUAGAAAUAGUCUUUUGCUGGGCAGUGGUAGCAAACUCCUUUAAACCCAGGACUUCGGAGACAGAGGCAGGCAGAUUUCUGAGUUCAAGGCCAGCCUGGUCUACAAAGUGAGUUCCAGGACAGCCAGGGCUACACAGAGAAACCCUGUUUCAAAAAACCAAAAAUAAAUAAAUAAAUAAAUAAAUAAAAUGAAGGAAUAGUUUUUUGGGGCAAAUCCAAUCUUUGUUGUUCUCAGUCCAUCCCACUAGCAAACACCAAACAUGAAUCAGCAGCUCUAGUCCAGUCUGUUCAGCAACCACCACGCACGAAUCAGCAGCUGCAGACCUCAGCAGACACCACACAGGACUGCAGGGGCAGUUCAGUCCUGAAGAAACGGCAAGGCUCGUCAACUGUCCAGAGUCCACUGUAGAAGCCGCAAGAUGCCACAGGAACCUCACGGUGUUCUUCAGUGAGUUUCUCUCUCUGACAUCACCAUAAGUGAAGCUCAAUGCAAUGUAAAGCAAACCAAUACACGUGUGCCAUCAGAGAAGACUGACAAGACAGGGCAAAGUGAGCCAAUGCACGCGCUCCCACUGUCUGUGGGGUCAUAUUUAUAUUCCUUCCAACUAUCACGUGUCCUUUCACGUGUCUGCUAUAGCAAGACAUUCUUUCACCUGUGUCUGCUUCAGCAAAAACAUUCUUGCAGGUGUCUGCUUUAGCAAAAAAUUCUUUCCCCUGUCUGCCCAGUAAAACAUCAUUUCACAUAACUGACUUUCUGAAGAAACCAGAAGUUCCCCCUUUAAAGCCCCUGCGUCAGUGUUGCUAUAAAACUUCCAACCUGCUGGUUCUUUCCAAGUGCUUU